GCAGUUUUUAGCCUGGCGGAUAACUGAAAAGGAGUUUGCACAGGUGCCGGUGCAAUCUAAGAACCCAGCAGGAAGCUGAGAUUCUGAGCCUGGCCUCAAGAAGAAAGAAAGCAGCUUGGGACAUCAGGCCCAUCGGGGCCUUGAAAGGGAAGAAAAAGCCCAGAUCAAGGGAUGAAGGAGGCCCUGCAGUCAACACUCUGGUGCCGGUACAAGCUGGAGCCAGGAGGGCAUCGGAAAUGGCUGGGUAGCUCCAUCUGACCCUAAGCUCCUGGGGAAGGGACCAGGGAUGGAGAGGAUAGUCAAGUGUCCUUUGGCAGCUCCGGUCUCCUCACGCUGAUCACAGAGUUGUGCUGAAGGAGAAGCAGGUUGGUGGAUGUGGGUGCUCUCUGAGAACAAUAAGAAAGUCCAUGUUCUCUACGACAGCCUCAGAUUCACCUCUUCUAAUCUGUCAUGGAGGAUCCAGAGACAUCAGGCCCAAGCUAGAUGUGGUUACAAUACCCACUGUCUCAAGAAGAAAACAAAAACAAAGCCUUCUCAGAACGAAGACUCAAGUCUGGUCCCUGACCACAUCUUGUCAACAUGCCAUAUUUUUCUUCACACACAGUACCUGGGCCCUUUGAUUAGCGUCUCAGACCCUCAGUAACUUCUCCCACAUCUAGAUUUCUAUACCUCCUAUAAAUCUAUGUCACCACUGAAUAUCAGUGAAUAUUAACAUUCUUUGAAUCAGCAGCAAAAUCUCACUGACCAUUAAAGACUCGUCAAGUCUUACUGUU